rnacentral:rRNA from 1 species
UACGUAGGGGGCAAGCGUUAUCCGGAUUCACUGGGUGUAAAGGGAGCGUAGACGGCGACGCAAGUCUGGAGUGAACGCCCGGGGCCCAACCCCGGGACUGCUCUGGAAACUGCGGCGCUGGAGUACGGGAGGGGCAGGCGGAAUUCCUGGUGUAGCGGUGAAAUGCGUAGAUAUCAGGAGGAACACCGGCGGCGAAGGCGGCCUGCUGGACCGUGACUGACGUUGAGGCUCGAGAGCGUGGGGAGCAAACAGG